GCUCUACAACCCUUUGUGAACAUACCUAUAACUGUUGCUUCGGCGGGUAGGGUCUCCGUGACCCUCCCGGCCUCCCGCCCCCGGGCGGGUCGGCGCCCGCCGGAGGAUAACCAAACUCUGAUUUAACGACGUUUCUUCUGAGUGGUACAAGCAAAUAAUCAAAACUUUUAACAACGGAUCUCUUGGUUCUGGCAUCGAUGAAGAACGCAGCGAAAUGCGAUAAGUAAUGUGAAUUGCAGAAUUCAGUGAAUCAUCGAAUCUUUGAACGCACAUUGCGCCCGCCAGCAUUCUGGCGGGCAUGCCUGUUCGAGCGUCAUUUCAACCCUCAAGCUCUGCUUGGUGUUGGGGCCCUACAGCUGAUGUAGGCCCUCAAAGGUAGUGGCGGACCCUCCCGGAGCCUCCUUUGCGUAGUAACUUUACGUCUCGCACUGGGAUCCGGAGGGACUCUUGCCGUAAAACCCCCAAUUUUCCAAAGGUUGACCUCGGAUCAGGUAGGAAUACCCGCUGAACUUAAGCUAAUCAAUA
rnacentral:rRNA from 1 species